AAUAAAGAGGAAAGAUUUGGCUGCUUGCGACCUCGUUUUCAUAAGAAAACAUAAAACGCUAAAACAGUGUAC
rfam:Nonlabens dokdonensis DSW-6, complete genome.